AGUGGAUGGGGAGCAACCUAGUUGUGCGUGUGUAAAGGUAGUGCCAAGAAAAGCGAUGAUCAUGUUGAAAAUCAAUUCCCGGUACCCGAAACCGACACAGGUGGGCAAGUAGAGAAUACUAAGGGGCGCGAGGUAACUCUCUCCAAGGAACUCGGCAAAAUGACCCCGUAACUUAGGGAGAAGGGGUGCCACCGAGAGGUGGUCGCAGUGAAGAGGCCCAGGCGACUGUUUAGCAAAAACAUAGGUCUCUGCAAACUCGAAAGAGGAGGUAUAGGGGCUGACGCCUGCCCAGUGCCGGAAGGUUAAAGAAGUUGGUCAGUUUUAGGAUGAAGCUAGCGACUGAAGCCCCGGUGAACGGCGGCCGUAACUAUAACGGUCCUAAGGUAGCGAAAUUCCUUGUCGGGUAAGUUCCGACCCGCUCGAAAGGCGUAACGAUCUGGGCGCUGUCUCGGAGAGAGGCUCGGCGAAAUAGGAUUGUCUGUGAAGAUACGGACUACCUGCAUUUGGACAGAAAGACCCUAUGAAGCUUUACUAUAGCUUGGAAUUGUGUUCGGGCUUCCUGUGCGCAGGAUAGGUGGGAGGCGUAGAAGGUAUUCUUGUGGGGAUACUGGAGCCAACGGUGAGAUACCACUCUCAGGAGGCUAGAAUUCUAACUUAAUUAAGGACAGUUUCAGGUGGGUAGUUUGACUGGGGCGGUCGCCUCCAAAAAGGUAACGGAGGCGUACAAAGGUUCCCUCAGACUGGUUGGAAAUCAGUCGAAGAGUGCAAAGGCAGAAGGGAGCUUGACUGCGAGAAGUACAGUUCGAGCAGGGUGGAAACACGGUCUUAGUGAUCCGACGGUGCUGUGUGGAAGGGCCGUCGCUCAACGGAUAAAGGUUACUCUAGGAUAACAGGCUGAUCUCCCCCAAGAGUUCACAUCGACGGGGAGGUUUGGCACCUCGAUGUCGGCUCAUCGCAACCUGGGGCGGAAGUACGUCCCAAGGGUUGGGCUGUUCGCCCAUUAAAGCGGUACGUGAGCUGGGUUCAGAACGUCGUGAGACAGUUCGGUCCAUAUCCGAUGUAGGCGUGAGAAUAUUGAGAGGAGCCUUCCUUAGUACGAGAGGACCGGGAAGGACGCACCGCUGGUGUACCUGUUAUGAUGCCAAUUGUAAACGCAGGGUAGCCAAGUGCGGAGAGGAUAACCGCUGAAAGCAUCUAAGUGGGAAGCCCACCUCAAGAUGAGUAUUCUGGUGUAAGGUCACGGGAAGACGACCCGUAAAUAGGCACGAGGUGGAAGUGCAGAGAUGUAUGAAGCCGAAGUGUACUAAUAGACCGUCGGCUUGAC
rnacentral:rRNA from 1 species